rnacentral:rRNA from 1 species
GAUGAACGCUGGCGGCGUGCCUAAUACAUGCCAGUCGAGCGAACGGACGAGAAGCUUGCUUCUCUGAUGUUAGCGGCGGACGGGUGAGUAACACGUGGAUAACCUACCUAUAAGACUGGGAUAACUUCGGGAAACCGGAGCUAAUACCGGAUAAUAUUUUGAACCGCAUGGUUCAAAAGUGAAAGACGGUCUUGCUGUCACUUAUAGAUGGAUCCGCGCUGCAUUAGCUAGUUGGUAAGGUAACGGCUUACCAAGGCAACGAUGCAUAGCCGACCUGAGAGGGUGAUCGGCCACACUGGAGCUGAGACACGGUCCAGACUCCUACGGGAGGCAGCAGUAGGGAUUCUUCCGCAAUGGGCGAAAGCCUGACGGAGCAACGCCGCGUGAGUGAUGAAGGUCUUCGGAUCGUAAAACUCUGUUAUUAGGGAAGAACAUAUGUGUAAGUAACUGUGCACAUCUUGACGGUACCUAAUCAGAAAGCCACGGCUAACUACGUG